CAAACAACGAAUGGCAUAAAGACAUUACACCGAAGCAUUACACCAAAUCUGUAAUGGUGCUCUACCUAUGAUACCAGAAAAAAUUACAUAGCCUCUGGUCUGAACCUUGAAAAAGCCAAGAGACAGAUAAAUAGAUGACCCUGGUGUGCCUUCUUCUGAAACAUGAGUUAGCAGCAAGUUGGAUGGAUUCAGUUACCGUGGCAAUGAGUGCACCGUUGGAAGAUGUGAAAGACCAGGUUACGGACUGAUCAUCAUGGAGAAUAUCUACAUGGUUGCUGAAAGUCAACGACUUGACAGUACAUAAUCAGUCAAUCAAUGUACAUGCAUAUGUGUUUUAAGCAGAACAGGUAUUAUUUAUUUAUAUAUAGUUAUAUUUGUAAAUAUUUAUUUAUUAAACAAAAAUAUAUAGCCACCCAACUCACACACAGUGACUCCAGGCAGCUUACAAGAUUAAAAUCCAAAUACAGAAAAACCAAUAAACCCCCACCCCCCUUGCUGGCAACGAACACACUCAAACUAACCACUUGAUCGAUUUGAUUCAUGUGUGAGCUGGGCAGCUAUAUAAAUUUGUUAAAUAAAUAAAUAUCUACAGAUAUUUCCAAAUAUAAACAAUUAGUACUGUGCUAUAAAACAUACGACCUAAGGCAUGAGCCUGCCAUCUUUUUCAGGCUCCUGUACAGACUCAGCCUUUGAAUGGCAUACCGGGGAUGUGCCAAAAAUACAUGUGGCCAGAACAAAAUAGGACUACAUCAUUUAUUCAUUUAUUAAAUUUGUAUGCUGCUGAAAAUCUUCAAGCUUCACUGGGGCUUACAGCACAGGGGCUUACAUGUUAAUUGCAGUAAAACACCCCAAACAGAAUAAAAAUCAUACCAUAUAAAAUAAAAACAAUAAUUCAUUAGCUGAUAAUCAAGAAAUAACAUCUGAAGGAUGGCAACCAAUCACUUUCUGAAGUUCACUCUUUAAAUUCUCUAAAGCUAGACUCUACGUUUACUAUUUAAAGCUUCUGAAAGGGUAUUAGGAGGGGACCACCCUAAGUUUCUAUCAGUGCUGCAAGAGAAAACACAGCUUUCUAGCCUCAGCCCUCCUCUCAUCUCACUAUACUGAGAUACUACAGUAUUAGGAAUUGCCACUUAGAGGACCUCCUUGAAUGGCUGAAUCAGAAAGAAUUUGGCAGUCCUGGACUAAGUCACAAGCCUUGGUACUUUGCCUGGCACCUGAUUAACUACUUUAGUUAAAUUAAAUACAGUUAACGAUUACUUUCCUUAUAGUUAUUCAUUUCCUCUUCUAUCAUUAAAAAUUUGGACAUUUAGGCAGGCCUGGGGGGGAUGGUCUUGGAAGGCUGCCUGAAGUCCUAGAUUGCAUGUCUAUGACCCAAGGAAAUCAAAUGGUCCGGAUGAUAAAAUGCUAAAUAAAAUGGAAAUUACACA